rnacentral:lncRNA from 1 species
AUUUACCACCCUGCAUUACAUUUGUCAACUCUACGUUUGUCUUUCUCCUUUCUUAAAAUUAUUGCACCUUGAAAACAGAAAUGGUGUCUGUUUUUUCUGACUUGAUAGGGCCCAGCAGAAUCUGUGGAAUACUGUAAAUGAAAAUAAAUAUGCAAUGAAUGAAUGAAUGCCAGAAGGGAAACUCUCAAAGGUCCAGGACACGAAAAUUGGUAAUUGGUGUUUCUCUUUUACUACGCCAUCCUACACAUUGUUUGAGGGAAGCAAUUAUGGCUUGUUCAUAUCUGGAGACACUACAAUUCUUUAUGCAGUGCUUAAGCAUGCAGUAAGUAUUUGUUGUAUUUCAAUU